rnacentral:lncRNA from 1 species
GACAAAAUAAAUUAAUACAGAUACACAAACACAUGUAUGCAAAAUUAUACUUUUAACAAAGAUAUAUGUUUUACUUUUGAAAUAUGUUUCAUUUAGACUGCAAAACAAGCAAGAAGAUUUAUUAUGAAUCAGAGUUGUUUGUGCUCUCAGGAAGGAAGAUAAUGAUCUAACCAAUCUCUUUCACUGGGAACUGUUUUCUGAAUAUUAUAAGGCCCCAGGGAUUCCAGAUGGAAUACAGUAUAAUUAACUCUUCACCACCAAAUACCUAUGUUAGAAGACCUUGAGAAUAAAUGAUUGCCUAAUAGCAAAUGGCAUCCUACUUCUUGACUACACUUGCACCUGAGGAUACAAAAGGACAAGGUGUAUUUAACCUUAGAAUGUCUCUAUAAGAUGAAAACAAGUAAGUGCAAUUAUCUCCACUUAAAGUCUAAAGUUGGCAAACACUUAUAAGAUAAAUGACUUGCUCAAGACUGACUAGGAGGAAGAGUUUUAGUAUAAAAACUUAAACUCAUUAUCUCUUUUUUACAUGGGACUGAAUGGAGGAUUGAGAAUGGCUCUUUAUGUGGAAGAUAACAUAUUUAAUAUAUUUUCUUUCGUUUUAAGGCAGUAUUGAAAUGAAAAAAGAAUAAACUUCUAGAUUCUGAUAGUAUACAUGGUAAUAAUGUAAUCAUUUUAGUAAUAAUUAAGCUAUAUUGGGUAAUUUUUGCAUGCCAAACAGCAUACUGCAUAUUUACAUGUUAAAUCAUUCCUUUUAUGAAAUUUUAACAAUGACAAUGAUGUAAUAGCAAUGAUUCUAUGAAGAAUCUGCUAAGAUAAAGAAGCCUAGGCCAGGAACUGUGGCUCAUGUCUGUAACCUCAGCACACUGGGACGCCAAGGAGGGAGAAUAGCUUGAGGCCAGGAGUUUGAGACCAGCCUGGGCAAAACAGCCUAGUUUCUACAAAACAACCCAGUCUCUACAAAAAUAAAAAUAACAUAAAUAAAUAAAUAAUCCUCUACUCAA